rnacentral:rRNA from 1 species
AGUGAACGCUGGCGGUAUGCCUAACACAUGCAAGUCGAACGGCAGCACAGUAAGAUCUUGCUCCUGCGGUUGGCGACUGGCGGACGGGUGAGACGUACAUCGGCAUCUUCUUUUUCUGGGGGGACAUCGUGAGACAGCUGACACUACUACCUAAUACUACCUACCGGAUAAAUCAAAAGAGCAUCACACUCUUCGCGUCUCUAUUAGACGAAUCCGCGCUGCAUUAGCUAGUUGGUAAGGUACCGGCUCACCAAGGAAACGAUGCGUAGCUGAGCUGAGAGGAUGAUCAGCCACACUGGAACUGAGACACGGUCCAGACUCCUACGGGAGGCAGCAGUGGGGAAUAUUGGACAAUGGGCGCAAGCCUGACGCAGCAAUACCGCGUGAGUGAAGAAGGCCUUCGGGUUGUAAAGCUCUUUUGUUGGGAAAGAAAAGAUGCAGAUUAAUCCGCCGACGUUCUGACGGUACCCAAAGAAAAAGCACCGGCUAACUUCGUG